AGGAAUGACAUGUUUGGUGGGAGGAGGGAUUACCGAAGAGGUCUUGGCCAUAAAGCACUUGGGUGAGCGGUUCUUGUUCUCAUUGGGGGAGUCGAAGAGAGAUGGAACUGAAGGAGCAAUGGCAAUGUUCGCCCUCUCCGUGGACUCUUCAUCAUCAUCAUCUUCGUCACCCGAAGUAUAUUAUUCUUGAACAAGAAGCUGUAACAUCCCAAUUUUUUCCAAACUUUGCAUCACGCAUUUGCACUCAUAAGCAUCGUGCCAUUUAUGCACUUUGAGCAUUUUAAACCAAGUUUCAAAAUUUAAAGUCCUUUUUAUUUAGCUUUUGCUUUCUAACCUUCUUUGUUACCAUUUGGAAUUUCUCAACUCAUGGGGUUUUGUCAAUAUAAAGGGGUUUAUUGCAUCAAGAUAAGCUGCCCCAUAAUUUUUGGAAUUUGAUUUGGAGUUGAAAAACUAUUUAUUUCUUAAUAUUAUUGCACUAGAGGCAACUAUUUUAAGCAAAACUAUUUUUAAUAAUUUGCUUUUGGAAGGAAUCAAGUCCCAGGUGUUUUAGCAUUGAGGGAUUUGAUUUUACAAAUUUUCUGGAAUUUAUUUGGAGUUAAAAAUUAAAAGAUAGAAGGGAAAAACAGAAAAAGAAAAGAAAAGAAAAGAAAAAGAUCAAAAAAGAAGAAGAAACCAGGCCGGCCCGGCCGAACCGGCCCAGUCGCAGCCCAACCCAGCCCAGUCGCCUGCCCGCGAGCACCGCAGUCGCUGACAGGUGGGGCCCACCUGUCAGUCGUCUUCUAGAUUCGCCCGGGAAUCUAGCUAAGACCGACUUCAUUGCUCGUCUUCAAUCUGAGAUUUAGAGCGCCCCAUUAACCACACCCCUCGCGUCACUAUAAAGAGCACUUCACCCUCUCUCAUUUCCCCCACACCCCCCCGGAGAAUUUCUCGCUGGAAUCCCUUCGGCCGCCGGGCAUUUUUCACUAAUCGUCGUCGCCUC
rnacentral:lncRNA from 1 species